ensembl:rRNA 5S_rRNA 5S ribosomal RNA
GCUUAUUUUUGUACCACCAUUUUUCCCGAUCUCGUCUGAUCUCGGAAGCUAAGCAGGGUCGGGCCUGGUUAGUACUUGGAUGGGUGACCGCCUGGGAAUACCAGGUGCUGUAAGCA